CUUACAUUCCACUGAUGACAAGGAAUGGAAUCAGCACAUUUUAACCUUCUAGCAGGCCAUUUGGAAAAAAAGAAGAUGCAUGUCAUACAGGAUUGAAAAGGACUGGAGAAGAACCAGAGGUUUGAGUUGAAAAAGAAUUAUGAGCUCUCAAGAGUUUGAGGUUUUUGAGGUUUGCCAGUACAUCAGUGGAAUAUCAAAUGACAGGAUGAGACCUAGAAGACAAAUGUAAAAUUCCAAAAUGCAUGUUGUGGAUGAAUGCAGCAAUAUGAGAUGAGUACUA